AAAAGAAAGGGGGGCAAUGGGGGUGGGAAUAAAAUGCAAAAAGUAUGUAUUGAAAGUAGGGUAGAGUGGGGAUAGCAAAUGGCAAGCCCAGUGUUCAUAUCUCUCUCUCCAACUUUUCACUCCGCAGUCCUCUCCUCAGCUCUCUCUAAUUUUCAAAAUUUUCAAAAAAUCCUGAUGUUGCUGACUUGCUUUUGCCGCUACCACUCUCACGCCAAACCACAGUCAUCGCCACCAUGGCGCCACUCACCAGCCACCGUUUCUCUCCCCCAACGAUCUAUCAACCCCUACUACGCCUUUGUCGGCUCCACUGCCUAACAUCUCCAAUCUGCACCGCCGGCCCAAUCACUUCCCAGAUGAUAGAGCAUAGAGCUCCAGCCAAGCUAUAUUGCCAAAAAAGGUUUUGAAGCAUUCCUUAUGGAUUGAUAUCUUGACGUUAGCAAGACUAAUUUUCAGUGUCAUUAAAGUUUUAGACUUGAUAUGAGUGAACUUUUUACUUCGAAACAUGUAAUGAGACAAAAAAGACUUGCUUUAGUUUUAUGUUGCAUCGUUCAAUUUUGACACUUGAGUGUCCUCGUUUAUGUAUACAAAAACCAUUACAAUGAUGUAUAGUACAAACCAAGAGAAUGUAAUAAAGUGCAAUUAUUCUUUUCUUGAUA